rnacentral:rRNA from 1 species
GAUGAACGCUGGCGGCGUGCUUAACACAUGCAAGUCGAGCGAAGCGCUUUUGCGGAUUUCUUCGGAUUGAAGCAAUUGUGACUGAGCGGCGGACGGGUGAGUAACGCGUGGGUAACCUGCCUCAUACAGGGGGAUAACAGUUGGAAACGGCUGCUAAUACCGCAUAAGCGCACAGUACCGCAUGGUACCGUGUGAAAAACUCCGGUGGUAUGAGAUGGACCCGCGUCUGAUUAGCUAGUUGGUGGGGUAACGGCCUACCAAGGCGACGAUCAGUAGCCGACCUGAGAGGGUGACCGGCCACAUUGGGACUGAGACACGGCCCAA